rnacentral:tRNA from 1 species
CAGGGAAUAGUUAAAUUAGAAUGCCAGCUUUGGGUGCUGGUGGUGGGGUUAUUGCCUCUUCCUUGA